rnacentral:tRNA from 1 species
GGAAGUAUGGCUAAAGUGGUAGAGUGUCUGACUACCUAGUACAAAUCCCUGAGUUCAAAUCUCAGUACCAUCA